rnacentral:rRNA from 1 species
GACGAACGCUGGCGGCGUGCUUAACACAUGCAAGUCGAACGGAAAGGCCCUGCUGUUGUGGGGUGCUCGAGUGGCGAACGGGUGAGUAACACGGGAGUAACCUGCCCUUGACUUUGGGAUAACUUCAGGAAACUGGGGCUAAUACCGGAUAUGAGCUCCUGCUGCAUGGUGUGGGUUGGAAAGUUUCGGCGGUUGGGGAUGGACUCGCGGCUUAUCAGCUUGUUGGUGGGGUAGUGGCUUACCAAGGCUUUGACGGGUAGCCGGCCUGAGAGGGUGACCGGCCACAUUGGGACUGAGAUACGGCCCAGACUCCUACGGGAGGCAGCAGUGGGGAAUAUUGCACAAUGGGCGGAAGCCUGAUGCAGCAACGCCGCGUGCGGGAUGACGGCCUUCGGGUUGUAAACCGCUUUCGCCUGUGACGAAGCGUGAGUGACGGUAAUGGGUAAAGAAGCACCGGCUAACUACGUG